rnacentral:rRNA from 1 species
GAUGAACGCUGGCGGCGUGCCUAAUACAUGCAAGUCGAGCGAACAGACGAGGAGCUUGCUCCUCUGACGUUAGCGGCGGACGGGUGAGUAACACGUGGAUAACCUACCUAUAAGACUGGGAUAACUUCGGGAAACCGGAGCUAAUACCGGAUAAUAUAUUGAACCGCAUGGUUCAAUAGUGAAAGACGGUUUUGCUGUCACUUAUAGAUGGAUCCGCGCCGCAUUAGCUAGUUGGUAAGGUAACGGCUUACCAAGGCGACGAUGCGUAGCCGACCUGAGAGGGCGAUCGGCGACACUGGGACUGAGACACGGCCCAGACGCCGACGGGAGGCAGCAGUGGGGAAUCUUGGACAAUGGGCGAAAGCCUGAAGCAGCAAUGCCGCGUGAGUGAAGAAGGUCUUCGGAUCGUAAAACUCUGUUGUUAGGAAAGAACAAGUGUGCAAGUAUCUAGGCCCGUCUUGACGGUACCUAAACAGAAAGCAACGGCUAACUACGUG